GGUGGCCCUGGCCACCGGUGUGACCUGCUGUCUCGGCGCGACAGCAGUGGUGGCAGCCAGGCAUGACGACGGGGGGUCGCCGCCCCCGGCGACCG
rnacentral:tRNA from 1 species